GCACAGUCAGCAUGGUGAUAAGGGUCACCUGUGGAGAUCAACAAGAAGUGGAGGACUUCCGGUUGACGUCACAGUGGGAACGGACUGGAAAAUAUCGGGCUCUGAUGAGCCACGCGAAAUCCAGCCAGAAGAACCGCUGCCGGGAGGCUCUUGAGCCAUAGCCGUCCUGUAGGGACGAUGAAGAAAGGAGAGGUGUUUCGUGGACCACAAGGAAUUGGCAAUUUCCUUGCUGGAACAGAAACAGCUCUCCCAAAGCGGCAGCAGGGGCGGCGGCCAUCUUAGGGUGGCCACCUUGAAGCUGGGACAACUGAACCUAAGAAUUGUGCAGGAGUAGCACUGGAUGGAGUACUAGAACUGGGUGAAAUAAGUGCCAAAUUAUAUUAAGAAAAGUUGAAAUUGAAGUUUUAAAAGAAUUCUGGAGCUUGGACUAGCGGCUAUCUGGCAUUUGGGAGGGGGGGUGGAAAUCACACACACAGAACAAAGAGAAAGCGUGAACUGUAAUAUAAAGAAUUUAAGAGGAAGUCUUGGAUUUGGAAAUUUGGGGAAAGCAAAAGAUUUUAAAAGGGAGAAAAAUGAUUUUUGGAAGAUAACAAUAAUUCACAAGAGAACUUUAAAAAAUUAUUUGAUAAACAAUUGGAUUAAAUAGACUAUUUGAUAACGGAGUAGAAAUGGAGAGUGCCAUCUGCUGGAGGGAAAAAAAGUACUGUAAUAUUCUAUUCAAAUAGACAAAACAGAAGAAAUAGCAGCUGGAAAUUUCAACCUUGGCCAUAUAGAAGAAGAAAAGUUGGACACUGUGAGAACAUUUAAGGAGUGACUGUGUUUUACAUCUGGGUGGUUGUUUUAUCUCCCUUCUCUUCUGGAAGAUAGCUUCAUAAUUGGAUUUGACUGUUGCUGAAUUUGGAUAAUAAUUAAUAAUUGAGAAGAACAUUUUAAUUUUAAAGAAGAAAAGAAAUUAACAAUGUUGAAGAGAAAGUAUCAAAAAAUAGAAAUCAGAUAAAAAAUAUUACAGAAACAUUUGGGAAUGUCAAAAGAGCAGAGAGAAAGGGGAGAAAGUUUGUUUCUAAAAAAGAAACAAACAAAAGAGGAAAAGAGGAAAUUCUGGAAGAGACAAGGGAAAACUUUGGUGAGGGAUGUUCAAACAAUACAAAAAAAAAAAAAAAAAAAACACAAAAGGAAGCCAGAAGAUGAAAUGUAACAUAUAUAAAAAGAAAAAAGAGAGAAUCGAGAAAUUAGACCAAAAUAAAUGGUCAUGCAAAAAAUUAUUGGAAAAUGGGAUGCUAAAAAGAUAUUGAGAUGAUGGUUAAAGAUGAAGGAUGAUGAGAUGCCCAGACUGAAGAACUAAACCCAUAAUAAAUUUGCAGUGCUGAACUCAUCUGUC